GAUGAACGCUGGCGGCGUGCUUAACACAUGCAAGUCGAACGAAGCACUUAAUGAGAUUUCUUCGGAUUGAUUAUUUUGUGACUGAGUGGCGGACGGGUGAGUAACGCGUGGGUAACCUGCCCCCAGACCGGGGGAUAACAGUCGGAAACGACUGCUAAUACCGCAUAAGCGCACAGUGCCGCAUGGCACGGUGUGAAAAACUCCGGUGGUGUGAGAUGGACCCGCGUCUGAUUAGCCAGUUGGCGGGGUAACGGCCCACCAAAGCGACGAUCAGUAGCCGGCCUGAGAGGGGUGAACGGGCCACAUUGGGACUGAGACACGGCCCAAACUCCUACGGGAGGCAGCAUGGGGGAAUAUUGCACAAUGGGGGAAACCCUGAUGCAGCGACGCCGCGUGAGUGAAGAAGUAUUUC
rnacentral:rRNA from 1 species